UCGAGGAGGUCCUCCGUGACGACGCGCGCGGCGUCGGACGACGCGGACGCGGACGAGGAGCGCGCGAAGGAGGUGGCGAAGAAUCUCGAGGACCUCCUCCCCGGGGACGAGCGCGUCCGGGACGAGAUAACGUCGCAGCUCAAGUACCAGACGAAGUUGUUCAAAGCGCAGCAGUUCUUAGACGAGAAGAAAGAGGAGAUCCAGGAGAGAGGCGACGCGGGGAAGGAAGCGCUCGAGGCGGAGGCGAAGAUCGCGCGCGACCGAGCGGGGC
rnacentral:lncRNA from 1 species